rnacentral:rRNA from 1 species
GACGAACGCUGGCGGCAGGCUUAACACAUGCAAGUCGAACGGGCGUAGCAAUACGUCAGUGGCAGACGGGUGAGUAACACGUGGGAACGUACCUUUUGGUUCGGAACAACACAGGGAAACUUGUGCUAAUACCGAAUAAGCCCUUACGGGGAAGAUUAUCGCCGAAAGAUCGGCCCGCGUCUGAUUAGCUAGUUGGUGAGGUAAUGGCUCACCAAGGCGACGAUCAGUAGCUGGUCUGAGAGGAUGAUCAGCCACACUGGGACUGAGACACGGCCCAGACUCCUACGGGAGGCAGCAGUGGGGAAUAUUGGACAAUGGGCGCAAGCCUGAUCCAGCCAUGCCGCGUGAGUGAUGAAGGCCCUAGGGUUGUAAAGCUCUUUUGUGCGGGAAGAUAAUGACGGUACCGCAAGAAUAAGCCCCGGCUAACUUCGUGCCAGCAGCCGCGGUAAGGAUGAGACGU